CCUUCCAAAGGCCCUACCUCCAGAUGCCGUCAAAUUGGUGGUUAGGAUUUCAACAAAUGAACUUGGUGGGAAAUACACAUUUGGACCACAGCAAUGUAUUACCGUCAUUCUUUUUAAUGUUAUCCAUUCUCUGUGUGUUGUAGAAUCUCAAAGUAAUCAUUUUCAUCUUAAUGAGGGUGAGAAUUUUUUUAUAUGCGAUUGGCAACUUUAAUACUCUCUUUGGCAAAGCACCUGUGAAGGUCUUUCCUGGUUUUCUAUGGGGUUGUCUGUUAUUUUCAUAUCUGUGGGAGUUCUUCGUAUCAUUGAGAUACAAUCUCUUUGUCAGUUAAAUAUCUUCUCCCACUCUAUGGCUUGGAUUUUUUGCUCAUUUAAGGCUUCUUAUAAAGGACAGAGUUCUUCAUUAAAAUGUCAUCCAAAAUUGCACUUUUUCAUUUAUGGUAGAGUUUUUUGUGUCUGCUUAAAGUGUCCUUCCCUACUCUGAGGUCAUGAAGGUAUUUUGCUGUGUUUUCUUACCAAAACAUUACUGUUUCACUUUUCACAUUUUGGUAAGCUGGUAUUGAUUUUUAUGUAUGGAGGCAAGUGGAGGUUAAAUCUUUCUUUCUCCCUCUUCUUUUCCUUCCUUCCUUCCUUCUCUUUCUUUCUCUCCUUUCUUCCCUCUUUCUCUUUUCUUUCACCUCAUAUAAAUACUUAAUUGUCCCAUCACAUGUAUUAGAAGUCCUGCCUUUCCCUGCACUCUGCGGGGCCACCUCUGUCACAACCCUGGAGGCCAUCCAUGCAGUGUGUUUCUGGAGUCUGUUCUGUUUCAGUGUUUUAUUUGUCUGCACUAUGGUCUGAACGUUUGUGUCCUCCCACAUUUCAUAUGCUGAAAUCUAAUUCCCAAUGUGAUAGAAUGAGGAGCUGGGGCCUUUGGGAGGGAGGAGUUCAUGGGGGCAGAUCCUCAGGAAUGAGAUUAGUGCCCUUGUAAAUGAGGCCCCAGAGAGCUCCCACAUCCCUUUUGCCAUGUGAGGUCACAGCAAAGAGAUGGCUUCCCUGAACCAGGAACCAGGCUUCACCAACACCAAAUCUGCUAGCACCUUGAUCUUCCACUUCCCAGUCCCCAGAACUGCGAUAAAUACAUUUCCGUGGUUAGAAGCCACCUGGUUUGUGGUGUUGUGUCAUAACAGCUAGGACAUGCUGAGACGGUCUUCCACCUCCACCACGGCAUCUCUGACCUUCAGCUCUGGGCAGUGCGACUGCCCAGCAGAGCAAGCUCCUGCCUGGAUCCUGCAAGGCUCUUCCAGGCCUUUGCAUUUUUGUAUAACUCACUUAAAAAAAUUUGGAGAACCACAGAAGUGAGAUGAUGCCCUUUUCAGAGCAACGUCAGGAACACAUGCUUCCCAGCGCCACACAGUUAAGGAGAUGUCUGACAGUCCUCUUUUCUGUACAGAGUCCAGGUUCCUGAGAGUGAAGAAUGAUGUUCAAAAACCAAGAUCUGUGAGUCACGUAAGCUUUCUGAAACAGCUUGUCAUUUUUCACAAACAGAUCUGUUUGAAUUGUGGUGGGAUUUCAGUGACCUGUAGAAUACUUUAGGGAGUGUUGAUAGUUUUACAAAAACGAGGCUUCCUCUUGUUAAACUCUCCAUUUUAUGAGGUUUUCUUCAAUUUGUCACUCUUGUAGUUUAUGGUUUUCCAUCUAGAGAUACUGUGUGUCAAUCAGAUUUAUUCCUAACUUUUUGAUGUUCUUUCAAUACUAUUUUAACUUGUUUUAGCUCUUCUAAAACUGAUUUUCUUACUGUUUAUUAUUGAUAUAUGGAAAUAUAGUUGAUUUUUGCCUGUUGGUCUUAUGUCUAAUAAACCAAUUUACUGGUUCUGAUAAUUUAUUCGUAGAUUAUUUUGGAUGGUCUACACACGCAAUUAUAUUUCCUGAGAAAAUGGCAGUUUUAUUUCUUCCUUUUUGAUACUUAAACAUUUAGCAUCUUUUUCACACCUUUCUGCACUGGCAGGACAUUCAGAACAAGGCUGAAAAGAGAAAGAGAGAGAAGGCAUUCUUAUCUUCUCACAGUCUUCAAGGGAAAGCUCUCAGCAUUUCAUAAUUGAGUACGUUUGUGGUAGACUUUUUUUCUGUAAAUACUUAUUGUCAUAUUAUAAAAGUUUCUUUCCAUUUUAAGUUUACUAUGAGAUUUUCUAGAAAUCAUUAAUAAAUGUUGACUUUUAAUGAAGGCAUCUAUUUAUAUCUACAUCUAUUAAGCUAAUCAUAUGAUAUUUCUCCUUUAUUCUGUUAAUGUAUGCAAUUAUAU
rnacentral:lncRNA from 1 species